rnacentral:rRNA from 1 species
CAUCGCCGCGGUAAUACAGAGGGUGCGAGCGUUAAUCGGAUUUACUGGGCGUAAAGCGUGCGUAGGCGGCUUUUUAAGUCGGAUGUGAAAUCCCUGAGCUUAACUUAGGAAUUGCAUUCGAUACUGGGAAGCUAGAGUAUGGGAGAGGAUGGUAGAAUUCCAGGUGUAGCGGUGAAAUGCGUAGAGAUCUAAAGGAAUACCGAUGGCGAAGGCAGCCAUCUGGCCUAAUACUGACGCUGAGGUACGAAAGCAUGGGGAGCAAACAGGAUUAGAUACCCCUGUAGUCCCUGUCUCUUAUACA